UGAUAUGCAAGGUGGUGUCUUUCUUGCAUGGAACGUUUUGUGAAACAAAAGGCAAAGCAGAAGAACCUGGGUAAUCAAAGGCUGUGCAGACAUUUUGCUGUUGUUGGAAUAUUUUGCAUCACAUCAUUUCUCCCAUAAAUACUUCAGCAUUUCUAACAAAAGAGGACUAAAACAGCAACAAUAAAGUCA
rnacentral:lncRNA from 1 species